ACGUCACUCCCUCUCCCCACACACACACCCGGACCUGGACCCGCCUCCACAACCACGCACUUCCGGCGACGCCUUGGUGCUGACAUCCACCCUGCCCACAAACCCAGCUAAGCCUAGCGGGCCAAGCACAGCGCCAUGGACGGCCGGGUGCAGCUGAUGAAGGCCUUCAUGGCCUGGCCCAUCCGGCACUUGGGGCGUCGCUGGAGGAACCCGAUUCCCUUUCCCGAGACGUUUGACGGCGACACCGACCGGCUCCCGGAGUUCAUCGUGCAGACCGGCUCCUACAUGUUCGUGGACGACAAGACGUUCUCCACCGACGCCCUGAAGGUGACGUUCCUCAUCACCCGCCUCACGGGCCCGGCCCUGCAGUGGGUGAUCCCCUACAUCGAGAAGGACAGCCCCCUGCUCAGUGAUUACCGGGGCUUCCUGGCCGAGAUGAAGCGGGUCUUUGGAUGGGAGGAGGACGAGGACUUCUAGGCCGCGAGAGCCCCUGGCCUGCGGCGGGUGCUCCGGGGAGGGUGGGCUGCGCCUGUCGCCGCCACCGCCACCGCCACCGCCAGGGUGGCCAUAGGCGGCCUCCCGCCGCGCCCCUCCCCCUUCGCGUGGCCGCUGCAAUGUCCCCUGCGCGCUGCUGUCCCCUCCCGCCCGCGUAGUGCUUGCCUUUGUUCCAGGAAUAGCGCUCCAGGCUCCCGCUGCUGCGGCCGCCGGGCCUCGCUCUGGAGCGCGUCGCCGCCGCCCUGUGCUGCCAGCCCGGCCCCUCCCGUGCACACUUGGACGCUGUCCUGGGCCCCAGCUGCAAGCUGGGCUCGCGUUACACACUGGACACACCACCCACGGCCGGCCGCUGUCAGCCGCCCCUGCCAUGCCACCAGCCUGCAUCAGUCUGCCCACACACCUGCGCUGUGCUGCCAUCACCAUCCACCGCACCCACCGUGCACCGCCAGAGGCUGCUCUUCGGGAUCCAGACUCACCUCGGAGGUACCUGAGCUGGCCUUCCACCUUCAGCGGGACCCAUGCCCUCUCCCCUCCCAGACACCUGUCGUGUUCCUGGCAGCCAAAUCCAGUCUCUCAUGUUCUCCUGUGGACCACUUACUUUUCCCCACAAUCCAGUUUUCUUCUGAAUUUGCAGCUGUCUGUCUGAUGUGUGUGCCUUUUGUUCGACACUGCAUUACAACCUUGCACUCUUUCCGGUUUACACUAUCUGUACAAAAAUGUUUUCCUUGCUUUCAAUAAAUGUCAGACACUAUUUAAGAAGA
rnacentral:lncRNA from 1 species